rnacentral:lncRNA from 1 species
UAAUAAUUUAAACAUUCGUACAAUAUAAGCAAAAAAUAACUUCCAUGAAUGGAUAUCUAAAGUGAUUUUAUGUAAUUUUUUGUCCUAGGGUGUAUGUUUUCUCUUUCUGACUACAGUUGUCCCAGUGUAGUUACCUCAACAAACGGAUAUAUUGUCAGAGGAGUCUUUUAUUGCUUUUAUUCUGAGCCAGAGAUUAAGCAUUAGAUGCUGAUUGUGUAGCAUUAAUUGAUUUUGGCAAUGCCAAAGGUAUUAAUGAUGUUAAUUUUUCAUUUAAAUCAUUUAUCAAUAAUUCUGGAUAAAGCAUGUCUUCAGGUCUGAAGUGUCUUUCACACACACAAUUGUCCAAUAGGCGCAUACGUUUUUUAUAUUUAUCAAGGUAUCAUAUAGUUCUUUAUACAUUGGACUCUGAUUAACGUUUUCAUUUGUUAUAGCGUAUAAAAAUUUUUUGUCAUUAUCGCUUCAUACUGUGAUCUCUGCGACUGAGUUAAUUCUUGAUACUUGUGUUGUGCUAGUGAUACAUCACUAGCUGGACUAGUUGCUAACUUAACAUGGAUAAUUUCAUUUUUUAUAUAACUGCCAUUCAUUACAGUAAUAGCCGACUGUGUAUGUGAUUCCUGUAAAAUAAAAAUAAAAAAAAUGGACAUCUUAAGUUAUAUUUUUGUAAUUUUUUGGUCUAGGGUCUAUGUUUUCUCUUUCUGACGUAUAAGUAAGUGCAUAUCGCUCAGAAAGAGUUCCAAAUAUAUUGUUUUUGUCGUUCACAAACAAAAUUGUCUACAGUUAAUCUAACGACUACUGAUAAACUCUAAUAAUUUAAACAUUCCUACAAUAUAAGCAAAAAAUAACUUCCAUGAAUGGAUAUCUAAAGUGAUUUUAUGUAAUUUUUUGUCCUAGGGUGUAUGUUUUCUCUUUCUGACUACAGUUGUCCCAGUGUAGUUACCUCAACAAACGGAUAUAUUGUCAGAGGAGUCUUUUAUUGCUUUUAUUCUGAGCCAGAGAUUAAGCAUUAGAUGCUGAUUGUGUAGCAUUAAUUGAUUUUGGCAAUGCCAAAGGUAUUAAUGAUGUUAAUUUUUCAUUUAAAUCAUUUAUCAAUAAUUCUGGAUAAAGCAUGUCUUCAGGUCUGAAGUGUCUUUCACACACACAAUUGUCCAAUAGGCGCAUACGUUUUUUAUAUUUAUCAAGGUAUCAUAUAGUUCUUUGUACAUUGGACUCUGAUUAACGUAUUCAUUUGUUAUAGCUUAUAAAUAUUUUUUGUCAUUAUCGCUUCAUACUGUGAUCUCUGCGACUGAGUUAAUUCUUGAUACUUGUUUUGUGCUAGUGAUACAUCACUAGCUGGACUAGUUGCUAAAUUAACAUGGAUUUUUUCAUUUUUUAUAUAACUGCCAUUCAUUACAGUAAUAGCCGACUGUGUAUGUGAUUCCUGUAAAAUAAAAAUAAAAAAAAUGGACAUCUUAAGUUAUAUUUUUGUAAUUUUUUGGUCUAGGGUCUAUGUUUUCUCUUUCUGACGUAUAAGUAAGUGCAUAUCGCUCAGAAAGAGUUCCAAAUAUAUUGUUUUUGUCGUUCACACACAAAAUUGUCAACAGUUAAUCUAACGACUACUGAUAAACUCUAAUAAUUUAAACAUUCCUACAAUAUAAGCAAAAAAUAACUUCCAUGAAUGGAUAUCUAAAGUGAUUUUUUGUAAUUUUUUGACCUAGGGUGUAUGUUUUCUCUUUCUGACUACAGUUGUCCCAGUGUAGGUACCUCAACAAACGGAUAUAUUGUCAGAGGAGUCUUUUAUUGCUUUUAUUCUGAGCCAGAGAUUAAGCAUUAGAUGCUGAUUGUGUAGCAUUAAUUGAUUUUGGCAAUGCCAAAGGUAUUAAUGAUGUUAAUUUUUCAUUUAAAUCAUUUAUCAAUAAUUCUGGAUAAAGCAUGUCUUCAGGUCUGAAGUGUCUUUCACACACACAAUUGUCCAAUAGGCGCAUACGUUUUUUAUAUUUAUCGAGGUAUCAUAUAGUUCUUUGUACAUUGGACUCUGAUUAACGUAUUCAUUUGUUAUAGCGUAUAAAUAUUUUUUGUCAUUAUCGCUUCAUACUGUGAUCUCUGCGACUGAGUUAAUUCUUGAUACUUGUGUUGUGCUAGUGAUACAUCACUAGCUGGACUAGUUGCUAACUUAACAUGGAUUAUUUCAUUUUUAAUAUAACGGCCAUUCAUUACAGUAAUAGCCGACUGUGUAUGUGAUGCUUGUAAAAUAAAAAAUAAAAAUAAAUGGACAUCUAAAGUUAUAUUUUUGUAAUAUUUUGGUCUAGGGUCUAUGUUUUCUCUUUCUGACGUAUAAGUAAGUGCAUAUCGCUCAGAAAGAGUUCCAAAUAUAUUGUUUUUGUCGUUCACACACAAAAUUGUCUAAAGUUAAUCUAACAACUACUGAUAAACUCUAAUAAUUUAAACAUUCCUACAAUUCUUCUUUAAGGGUGCAUACGUUAUUUAUAUAUGAUAUAUCA